rnacentral:rRNA from 1 species
UACGAAGGGUGCAAGCGUUACUCGGAAUUACUGGGCGUAAAGCGUGCGUAGGUGGUGAGUUAAGUCUGUCGUGAAAGCCCCGGGCUCAACCUGGGAAUGGCCGUUGAAACUGGCGAACUGGAGUGUGGCAGAGGGGGGUGGAAUUCCGCGUGUAGCAGUGAAAUGCGUAGAGAUGCGGAGGAACACCGAUGGCGAAGGCAGCCCCCUGGGCUGACACUGACGCUCAGGCACGAAAGCGUGGGGAGCAAACAGG